rnacentral:rRNA from 1 species
GUUAGGAAUAUUGGACAAUGGGCGCAAGCUUGAUCCAGCCAUGCCGCGUGAGUGAUGAAGGCCUUCGGGUUGUAAAGCUCUUUAGUCCACGAAUAUAAUGACUGUAGUGGAAGAAUAAGCCCCGGCUAACUUCGUGCCAGCAGCCGCGGUAAUACGAAGGGGGCGAGCGUUAUUCGGAAUCACUGGGCGUAAAGCGUGCGUAGGCUGUUUUGUAAGUCAGAAGUGAAAGCCCAGGGCUUAACCCUGGAAUUGCUUUUGAAACUACAAGACUCGAAUUCGGGAGAGGAUAGCGGAAUUGUCAAUGUAGCAGUGAAAUGCGUAGAUAUUGACAGGAACACCAGUGGCGCAAGCGGCUAUCUGGACCGAUAUUGACGCUGAGGCACGAAAGCGUGGGGAGCAAACAGGAUUAGAAACCCUGGUAGUCC